UGCACUCAUUACUUUCUGAAAAAUUAUCCUUUGGGACUGAAUCUUUCCAUGAUCAUUCUCAGCCCAAAGGUUAAUUUGUUUGGAAAGCUGCAGUGA
rnacentral:pre_miRNA from 1 species